rnacentral:tRNA from 1 species
UCGAAAUCGGUAGACGCUACGGACUUAAAAUCCGUUGGCUUUUGUAGACCGUGAGGGUUCAAGUCCCUCUACCCCCA